rnacentral:rRNA from 1 species
GAUGAACGCUAGCGGCAGGCUUAACACAUGCAAGUCGAGGGGCAGCGCGGGAUAGCAAUAUCCUGGCGGCGACCGGCGGAAGGGUGCGUAACGCGUGAGCGACAUGCCCGUUGCCCGGGGACAACCGGUGGAAACGCCGACUAAUCCCCGAUGGGAUAUUGUGCCGCAUGGCACGAUAUUGAAAGUUACGGCGGCGACGGAUUGGCUCGCGUCCGAUUAGCUUGUUGGCGGGGUAACGGCCCACCAAGGCUGCGAUCGGUAGGGGUUCUGAGAGGAAGGCCCCCCACAAUGGGACUGAGACACGGCCCAUACUCCUACGGGAGGCAGCAGUGAGGAAUAUUGGUCAAUGGGCGGAAGCCUGAACCAGCCAUGCCGCGUGCGGGAAGGAGGCCCCAUGGGCUGUGAACCGCUUUUGCCUGGGGGCAAUAAGGGCGUCGCGCACGUCCGAUGAGAGUACCAGGCGAAUAAGCAUCGGCUAACUCCGUG